rnacentral:rRNA from 1 species
ACGGCGAGUGAAGCGGCAAGAGCUCAAAUUUGAAAUCUGGCCUCCCCCGGGGGCCCGAGUUGUAAUUUGCAGAGGAUGCUUCGGGUGCGGCCGCCGUCUAAGUUCCUUGGAACAGGACGUCAGAGAGGGUGAGAAUCCCGUCUUGGGCGGGCGGUCCGCGCCCGUGUGAAGCUCCUUCGACGAGUCGAGUUGUUUGGGAAUGCAGCUCUAAGCGGGUGGUAAAUUUCAUCUAAAGCUAAAUAUUGGCCGGAGACCGAUAGCGCACAAGUAGAGUGAUCGAAAGGUUAAAAGCACCUUGAAAAGGGAGUUAAACAGCACGUGAAAUUGUUGAAAGGGAAGCGCUUGCGGCCAGACUCGGGGGCGGGGUUCAGCGGGUGCUCGUCGCCCGUGUAUUCCUCGUCUCCCGGGCCAGCAUCAGUUUCGACGGCCGGUCAAAGGCCCCCGGAAUGUGUCGUCUCUCGGGACGUCUUAUAGCCGGGGGUGCAAUGCGGCCCGUCGGGACUGAGGAACGCGCUCCGGCUCGGAUGCUGGCGUAAUGGCCGUAAGCGGCCCGUCUUGA